UUCUGGCUCAGGAUGAACGCUAGCGACAGGCUUAACACAUGCAAGUCGAGGGGCAGCACGGGAGUAGCAAUACUUGGUGGCGACCGGCGCACGGGUGAGUAACGCGUAUGCAACCUACCUAUCAGAGGGGAAUAACCCGGCGAAAGUCGGACUAAUACCGCAUAAAACAGGGGCACCGCAUGGUGAUAUUUGUUAAAGAAAUUCGCUGAUAGAUGGGCAUGCGUUCCAUUAGGUAGUUGGUGAGGUAACGGCUCACCAAGCCGACGAUGGAUAGGGGAACUGAGAGGUUGGUCCCCCACACUGGUACUGAGACACGGACCAGACUCCUACGGGAGGCAGCAGUGAGGAAUAUUGGUCAAUGGGCGGGAGCCUGAACCAGCCAAGUCGCGUGAAGGAAGAAGGAUCUAUGGUCCGUAAACCUCUUUUGCAGGGGAAUAAAGUGCAGGACGUGUCCUGUUUUGUAUGUACCCUGAGAAUAAGGAUCGGCUAACUCCGUGCCAGCCGCGGC
rnacentral:rRNA from 1 species